rnacentral:rRNA from 1 species
CCUACGGGUGGCAGCAGUGGGGAAUAUUGCACAAUGGGGGAAACCCUGAUGCAGCGACGCCGCGUGAGUGAAGAAGUAUCUCGGGACGUAAAGCUCUAUCAGCAGGGAAGAUAAUGACGGUACCUGACCAAGAAGCCCCGGCUAACUACGUGCCAGCAGCCGCGGUAAUACGUAGGGGGCAAGCGUAAUCCGGAGUUCCUGGGUGUAAAGGGGGCGUAGACGGCAGCACAAGUAUGGAGUGAAAUCCCGGGGCGUAACCCCGGAACUGCUUUUGAGACUGUGCGGCUGUAGUGCAGGAGGGGUAAGCGGAAUUCCUAGUGUAGCGGUGAAAUGCGUAGAUAUUAGGAGGAACACCGGUGGCGAAGGCAGCUUACUGGACUGUAACUGACGUUGAGGCUCGAAAGCGUGGGGAGCAAACAGGAUUAGAUACCCCAGUAGUC